UUUCCGGUUGAUCCCGCCGGACCUGACUGCUAUCGGAUUGAUACUAAGCCAUGCGAGUCUUUGCAGUAAUGCAAGGCAUACGGCUCAGUAACACGUAGUCAACUUACCCUAUGGACGAGGAUAAUCUCGGGAAACUGAGCAUAAUACUCGAUAGAUCAUAAUGCCUGGAAUGGUUUAUGGUUGAAAUGAUUCGUCGCCAUAGGAUAGGACCGCGGCCUAUCAGCUUGUUGGUGAGGUAAUGGCCCACCAAGGCGAUUACAGGUACGGGCUCUGAGAGGAGAAGCCCGGAGAUGGGUACUGAGACAAGGACCCAGGCCCUAUGGGGCGCAGCAGGCGAGAAAACUUUGCAAUGUGCGAAAGCACGACAAGGUUAAUCCGAGUGAUUUCUGCUAAAGAAAUCUUUUGCAAGUCAUAAAACCACUAGUGAAUAAGGGGUGGGCAAGUUCUGGUGUCAGCCGCCGCGGUAAAACCAGCACCUCAAGUGGUCAGGAGGAUUAUUGGGCCUAAAGCAUCCGUAGCCGGCUCUGUAAGUUUUCGGUUAAAUCCAUGUGCUCAACAUAUGGGCUGUCGAAAAUACUGCAUAGCUAGGGAGUGGGAGAGGUAGACGGUACUCGGUAGGAAGGGGUAAAAUCCUUUGAUCUAUCGAUGACCACCUGUGGCGAAGGCGGUCUACCAGAACACGUUCGACGGUGAGGGAUGAAAGCUGGGGGAGCAAACCGGAUUAGAUACCCGGGUAGUCCCAGCUGUAAACGAUGCAGACUCGAUGAUGCAUUGGCAUAUAGCCAGUGCAGUGUCGCAGGGAAGCCGUUAAGUCUGCCGCCUGGGAAGUACGUACGCAAGUAUGAAACUUAAAGGAAUUGGCGGGGGAGCACCACAAGGGGUGAAGCCUGCGGUUCAAUUGGAGUCAACGCCGGGA
rnacentral:rRNA from 1 species